CGUCCUUCAUAUUUAGUCAUCCUGCGAGCUUGCUGCUGUCAACCUGUAUUAUUAAAGUCAUACUUAUUUACGUACUUCUUUACAUACAUGCAUACAUCACAAUUGGCGUGAAGUUUCGAACUUAUGCUGGUUUCUCCGUAUUCCUUACGGCUUUGAUUUACUACUGUUUUUCGCCAAUUUGCUACGCCCUUCUUAUGCUAUCGUGGGGGAGAGGAUUGCUACAUCCUGCCUAGGACUCCGCCCACGAGUUUGUUGAUGCAUCCCCAUCCCUGGCUUCUCCUGCCACUACUGCUUAGGCGACAGAUGCUCGCUUCCUUUCUACUCCACAAUGCUGGAUAAAUUUGGAUUCCUUCCUGUUUCGGUACCAUAAUGCUGUACCAUCUACUUUAGCGUUCCGCCCUGGAACACAGUUCAGAAGACGACAGGAUGAUCCGUAGCCAUGUACAGCAACAUAUGUACUACGAUAUCCGCUACCAGCUGACCUUCACGGUGCAGCGCCAGUGGAUUUGUUGGAAUUUUCCACUUCGCCCAUUACUGGACGAUAUGGAUACCUGGUCCUUCCCGCCAGCGGGAGGAAUUUGAAGAUGUUGCCAUGGCUGACACAGUUCAUUUGCUCCAUGCAGCAAGCCCCAUUCUCAACCAACAGCACCGUAUGUACGAUGUGUUCAACGUACAAAUUCCAGUACACAUCCUUCCUGUUAUCCUACCACGUACUACGUAGCACGUACCGUACAACACUACCGCUUCCUUGGAUACCGGUGCGAAGCAGCUAGAGAAGCGCUGUUCCUGACGUACAGUACAAGAAUGCAACCUGCAGUGCCAUCCAAACGGCGCCGUACUCGACUGUUGGACUGCAGAAGUGAAGUACUUAAGUACAGUUUUUAUAUUAGUGUUUGUUUACGUGGAUUACUUAACUUACAAUAAUUAUACGGUUGCCUGGUUAUUCAUACAAUUUCGUUCGUUCAUGCUAGUACUGUUCCUUCAUACAGUGUACGUACAAUUACAGUUUCUAAUUACAAUUUCCUGAUUACAUUACGUAUCAUGUUUCUUUGAUACGUGGGGACGAAUGUGGUGUUCUCGUGAAUCUACGUUUACGUAUUAUUCCUGUUGUACUUAGCAACUCCGUUACUGCGUGUUUGUCACUUGUCGUCCUUCAUAUUUAGUCAUCCUGCGAGCUUGCUGCUGUCAACCUGUAUUAUUAAAGUCAUACUUAUUUACGUACUUCUUUACAUACAUGCAUACAUCACAGAAACUAACUGCUUUACAGAUGUCGAAGAGAUGUACAUCAGCGAGCUGGCACAUCCGGUUGCGGCUGGAAUUCUUCUUAAUCUGGAUAGUGUUACCCAGUUACGAAUGAGCCGGGUAUGCACGCUCUGGAAUGACCUUAUUCGCGACCGUGCCGCUAGCGAACGCAUCAUCACUGAUCUCCACCCGUUCCGCGGAUGGCAGGAUUCUGUGCUAAACACGCCACUGAAUUUCACAAUGAGAAAAAUUCUUAUUUCGAUUACCAGCUGGUGGCUGUGCUCGAUCGUACUAUUUGCGGAAUACGCGAACAGUGGCGUUCGUGGGAAGUGAAAGGAAUUAUAAUAACGGUUUAUUAUUCAACGUCGCCUUAUCGCAAUUAAUAAUGCUGCUGGUUAUCGACAUCCUGAAAGCCAAGACAUUUCACCUGCAUAGGAUUAUUAUUAAGAACGAUUGGGAUAACGACAACCGUAUAGGGCGUCGUUUUCUGCACUUGUACGAAGAUCCUCAGAACGGAAACUAUGAAUGUGGUGUGCUGGCGGAACUGAUGACAGUGUGCGAGAACUUGCUUUUUCUGAAAUACGGUGCGUCCGAUCCCCUCCGCAACUGCCGACUCCUGAAUACACAGUUCUACCAGGACGGAUCGCCUUGGCCGGAAAGAUCGCAGCAAACGUUUUUCCAGUUAACCGAUCUGGGGCUGCCUUUGGUUGUUCCGUUUCUUCGUUUCCGCUCCACAGAAACGGCCACUGAACAAUGCCGACGCUUGUUAGCCGCGCUCAACGACAACUGCCCUGCUGUUAGUAAACAGGUUAAGAUAAGUUCAUAAAGCCCACGCGCACUGGGUGCAGACGCUGACGUAUCCCGCACAGUGGGCCGAGAUUCGCAAGUUUCUAAAACUAUUCUGCAGCUUGGGGGUGGACUAGAACGCACAGGCUUGGGAUACAGUAGACCUUCGGAAACUGAACGUGUCGAGAAUAAGCCGCUUAGCUCUUCAUCUGCUGGACGGGUUCUACAUGCAUUGAUAUAAAGGUUUCUUAACCUAAGAAAACGCUGACAAACCUAAGGAAAAACUUAAGAAACCUAAGAAACCUAAGAAUAACCUAAGAAACCAAAGAAACCAGCGGAUGCCUGCCAGCGGAAAAGGGACAGGACAGACCGUGAUGGGCGUAGCAGUCAACCGGCUUAGAACACUUUGUGCAGCUGAGCGGUUCACAAAUUUUGGCGCCGAGUCAAAGGCUUACCAAGAUUUUCAGCGUGUCAUCG